AAUCUAAUAGGCAAUUCAUACAAUAGUUGCUUACUAUAUUAUUAAUAUAUUGUUCCAUCUAUCAUACACACAUUGUGUUUUGGAGUCCGCGCUGUAGCUGGUUACAAAUCUGUAGUCCGUUGCUCUUCUCUCUCAUAUUUUAUCUCGUUAAAAUAUGUUUACAGCUGGCUAAUAGAUUGCUAUUGUAUCUGCUCUUAUGCAUGAUCGCCAUUGUUCCCAGAUAAACAGAGGCAUUACCCCCACGGCUCGGGAUCUCUACUACACAUUUCAGCAUAGCAAAGCGCCAAAGCCCAUUGGCCCCACCGGCCACCGCGCAUAAGCCCUCGCAACAACAGCCAACUUGAAGCAGUGGAGCUCAAAAUUCGUUCCGAUUCUAGGGGGGAUCGAGCAGCGAGCGGACUCCCCUCGCUUACCGCCGCGCUUGGCCGCCGCCGAGGGACGGUGGAUCGCGGUGUCGGGGGACUCGGCGUGAGGGGAAGCGGGAGGCGUGGUCCACCUCGUUAGGCCGGUGCCUACUCCCAGCGACGGCACCGCCAGGACGACGCGCCGCCGUGAUCUCGGCGGCUCCGGACCUCCGGUUGUCUUCUCGAACCGAUAUUGGUCAUGUAAUAUUGUCCAUAUCAUGUAUGCCCGCCGUCCUCCUCGUCAUCGUCGUCGUUGCUGUCCUCGUCCUCGUCCUUGUCGUGGGGGGUAGUGGGCUAGGGGUGGCUGGGUCCACCAGCUCCCUUCACCAUCGACGCGAGGGAGGGGGAGUUGAAUCCGCUGCCCCCAUGCUUCUUCAUUACCGGAUCCGUUGCUGCCGCGCAUCCCCACUACCGGAUCCGCUCGAUUUAUGAUUAUAAGAAAGAUAUUGAUACCACCUUGAAAUAAAAUUGUUUUUUAUUGACUCCUAUAUUUAUGGCUACAAUAAGUUAUUUAUUUUUUUAGGUCAUGUAAUAUUGUCCAUAUCACGGAUGCCCGCCGUCCUCCUCGUCAUCAUCGUCGUUGUAACCGUCGUCGUUGCUGUCCUCAUCCUCAUCCUCGUCCUUGUCGUGGGGCGUAGGGGGCUAGGGGUGGCCGGGUCCGCCCGCUCCCAUCACUGUCGACGCGCGGGAGGGAGAGUUGAAUCCGUUGCCCCCGUGCCUCUUCACCAUCGGAUCCGCUGUUGCCGCGCAUCCCCACCACCGGAUCCGCCGCAGUCGGAUCCGCGCGGGUGAUGGCCGCCGCACCUCCCCACCGUCGGAUCCGCCGCCGGACGCCUCACCACCGCCAGAUCUGUCGCCGCUGUCGCAUCCCUCCUCCGCCCUCUCCCACUGCCCGAGCCCUCCACCGCGUCGGGAGGGGGGAGAGGGGAGAGAAGGAGUGGGGGAGAAGAGGAGGAAGCCAUCGUCGUCGCCCUUGCCUACCGCUGGGAGGGAGGAGAUGAAUGGGGGUGAUGGGAAAGAGAGAGGACUGGAGAAUAAAAAAAGUGAGAAUCUACGGGGGGGUAUUUUUGCAUGCCGGUGAGUUAAACACCACAUUUUCACGUCCAUAUAUUUUAAAUGGUCCGUUUGGAAAAAAUGAUUCUUGCAUACAAGUUUCUUAAGAAGCCGUAUGGGAAAAUGGGAUAAAUUUUUGUAGGCACAAACACUUAUGGCCUGUCUGCAAUCUAUUCGGGUGGUCAUCCAGAAAAAUAUUUUUUAAGUAGUGAAUGGAAAGAUGACAUGAUGAAUCCAACCUCA